AGGACGAACGCUGGCGGCGUGGAUUAGGCAUGCAAGUCGCGCGACGGACCUUCGGGUUACGGAGCGGCGAACGGGUGAGUAACACGUGAACAAUCUGUCCCUACAUUCCGGAUAAUUGGCCGAAAGGCCUUGUAAUACGGGCGAGGAUGGUGGUGAGGCAUCUCACUAUCAGGGAAGGUGCAACGCAAGUUGUGCCGUGCGAGGGAGGGGUUCGCGGCCUAUCA
rnacentral:rRNA from 1 species